GCCCGACGACGAUACAACAUCUACUGUAGAGUUAAACUCUGCUCAAUAUUAACACACUCGUUAGACGAACGGAAGACCAUACGAGUUGACCGAGGAAGCUGCAGUGUAACCUGUACCCCAUCAAAACAAUUGGAGAUUCUACAAAAGUUGUCUUGGUCUUUUAACUGUUGCUGGAGAACACUCUCAGAAAAAUUAUUUGCCUACUCGAGCAUUAUCGCGGUUAGUGGGAGGUGGAUUCUUCCCACAACUUGUAAGGAGAUUCUCGUUUCUUUGUAACUGUUAAACUACAAGCAAUUUGUCUCUUCAAAAAUAUGGAUUCCAGCAUCUUUGUUAUUUCUUCAACCAUCCCACACUCCAUUUGUGUGUGGUAACUUGUGUCCAGGUGCAUGUAAACUCCAAUGUGUACGGGUUGAGUACACAUUGAAUGUACAAUGUAUGUAACCAAUAAAACUAUCCCCGUUAUAUUUUAUGGAAUUAA